CACGUAGGCACCAAGCGUUGUCCGGAUUUAUUGGGCGUAAAGAGCUCGUAGGCGGUCUGUCGCGUCUGCUGUGAAAAUCCAGGGCUCAACCCUGGACCUGCAGUGGGUACGGGCAGACUAGAGUGCGGUAGGGGAGAUCGGAAUUCCUGGUGUAGCGGUGAAAUGCGCAGAUAUCAGGAGGAACACCGGUGGCGAAGGCGGAUCUCUGGGCCAUUACUGACGCUGAGGAGCGAAAGCGUGGGGAGCGAACAGG
rnacentral:rRNA from 1 species